rnacentral:rRNA from 1 species
UACCGGAUACACACUUUUUGAGGCAUCUCAGAUGGUGGAAAGUUUUUCGGCUAGGGAUGGGCCCGCGGCCUAUCAGCUUGUUGGUGGGGUAAUGGCCUACCAAGGCGACGACGGGUAGCCGGCCUGAGAGGGCGACCGGCCACACUGGGACUGAGACACGGCCCAGACUCCUACGGGAGGCAGCAGUGGGGAAUAUUGCGCAAUGGGCGAAAGCCUGACGCAGCGACGCCGCGUGAGGGAUGACGGCCUUCGGGUUGUAAACCUCUUUCAGCUCUGACGAAGCGAAAGUGACGGUAGGAGCAGAAGAA